UCCCCUGUAACUCCCAAGGCAGAGCCGAGCCCUCCUUGCUCUCCAGAGCCUGGGUCUUCCUCUGAAUGGCUGAGCCGACAGCCCCUGGGCCCUCCUGGAGCCAUAAGCCAGCCAGGAGAGGACAGAUCAGGAGGAUGACUACAAUGACCUCAGGUUUGUCAGGCAAGCCCAGUCCAGUUUCAGACGACAGACUGGAGAGGACCCUGGCUCCCCAGCUCCCUCACUGAUCCUGGCUGGAAGAAGGCCUGGGCAGCAGCCAGCCUGCAUGGCCUCGAGGUGGCACUCAAGCACCACAUGUGGAGAUCCUCGCUCACAAACAGGGACCCGAGCCCGCCCCGCUGAAGCUCAGGUGCCACCUCCCAGCUGGCAUGUGCCCAUCUGCGGCCUCCAGGCCAGCCUAGGGAGGCACAAGCUCCAGGAGGUGUGGUCAGUGUGUCCAGUGACCAGGACCACAGGUGGAGCAACGCGAGGGACUGAGGGGUACUGAGGCAGGUGAGCAGGGCCCCAGGACCACUCACAGCACCACCAGGAGGCAGAGAGGACCCCUCCUUACUCCUGCCUGCCUUGGCAGCUGGCCUCCAGGACUGGCCAGACAGGUUCCUGUGGCUGACCUGGGUGGGGUCAUCCUCCGUGGGGCCGGCCAUGAAGCAGGAACAAGGGGCCUGGCACACGAGUCCCCGCCCAGUCAGGGCAAUGACCCAUCGUCCCACACCCAGAGAGACCUCAGCAUGCCAUGCACCCACCCCGACCUGCUGUGUGGCUGGUCACCAUGCGUCAGGGGAGGGCCAGCAUGACUCGGGGACCCGUCUGUCCUGCACGGCCAGCUCAGCUUCCACCUCUGUGCCUUGUCUCUGCCCUGCCUGGAAUGCCAGGGUGCCCAAUGCCGGCCUCACCACUCACUCCCUGCCCUGGCAUCCUGGCCUCCCCAGCGGUGAGGCAACGUUGUGCUUGGCAGCUUGGCUCUCACUCCCAGCCCGAGGCAGGCACCCUGUGCUGCUCUGACAGACGACACAGGCCCAGCACCCAUGGCCCCGGCCUCCUCCCAGCCCCUUCCCUGCUUCGCCUUCAAGGCCUGGUACAGGCCACCUCCUCCAGGAAGCCCAGGCCUUGAGGCAGGACGGCAGACGUGCAGGAAUGAGAUGUUUCCUGGGAAACCAGAAACACAUCCCAGAGAGGCUGGGAGGUGACUCACGGUGGGCAGGGCUCCGUCCUGGCUGGCUAGGCCCUCCUGUCCUGAGCUCCCACUCCCCGAAACCUGCCAGCACCAGUUCCACCCUUGUCCUCCUCCUGGAGACCGUCCUUGCGGCUCCUGCCCCAGUUCCACGCAUCUGACCCGCACCUGGAACAUCUCACAGUCUCAGAACUUCAGCCUGGGGAGUACAGGGCAGCUUGAACCCAGGCCUGACGUGGCCAGGGCAGGGGACGCACUCCCACCCCCACACAGCCUCUACACAGACCUGAGACCUGCCUGCAGGUGAGGUUAAAGUGCAGAUGACAUGAGGCUACAGAGGGUGCGUGUGUGUGCGUGUGUGUGGCGUGCACGCAGUGGGAGCAGAUGCUGUCAUGCAGCCUGGGACUCCUUCUGGAAGGGGCCUGCAGCAAAAGACAAGAGUCACCAGGACAAAGCUCACCCUGCUUUAUUGGCCUGAAAGUGGUCAAAGGUGUCCCAUCACGGCCAGUGCCUGGGACUCCCUCUCAGGGGCCCGGUCUGAGCCGCAGCCUUCCUGGUGGGAGGGCUGGUCCCAGGCUGGAAGUGGCUCAUGCCUCUGACUGUGGCCACCUGCACAUCUGGGCAGUGCCCAGGCUGGGGCAGAGGCUGGGUCCUGGUCCUGGCAGGGCUAGGAGACAACGCAGCAGCGGCUGUGGCAGCGGCAGAAGCGGGGGCAGUGGCAGCAGCGGCAGCAGGGGCAGCAGCAGCAGUGGUGAGCGAUGUCAUCGCCGCGUGCCACAGGCGGCAGGCCAGCAUAGGUCAGUCCCGGUGGGC